rnacentral:rRNA from 1 species
CGGUGGUCACUGCUAUCGAGUUCCGACUAAGCCAUGCGAGUCACAGGCCGUAAGGUACUGGCAGACGGCUCAGUAACACGCGGAUAAUCUGACCCCAGGUGGGGGAUAACUUCGGGAAACUGAGGCUAAUACCCUAUAGUCACUCUAUGCUGGAAUGCUUGAGUAAUGAAAACUACGGUGCCUGAGGAUGAGUCUGCGGCCUAUCAGGUAGUAUGUGGUGUAAAGGACCACAUAGCCUAGGACGGGUACGGGCCCUGAAAGGGGGAGCCCGGAGAUGGACUCUGAGACACUAGUCCAGGCCCUACGGGGCGCAGCAGGCGCGAAAACUGUGCAAUGCGCGAAAGCGCGACACGGGAAACCUGAGUGCCUUGACAUUAGUCAAGGCUUUUAUUAAGCCUAAAAAGCUUAAGGAAUAAGAGCUGGGUAAGACGGGUGCCAGCCGCCGCGGUAACACCCGCAGCUCGAGUGGUGGUCACUUUUAUUGAGCCUAAAGCGUUCGUAGCCGGCUUCGUAAAUCUUCAGACAAAUUCUUCUGCUUAACAGAAGAUUCUCUGAAGAGACUGCGAGACUUGGGACCGGGUGAGGUUGAAGGUACUUCCGGGGUAGGGGUAAAAUCCUGUAAUCCUGGAAGGACGACCGGUGGCGAAGGCGUUCAACUAGAACGGAUCCGACGGUGAGGAACGAGGGCUAGGGUAGCAAACCGGAUUAGAUACCCGGGUAGUCCUAGCUGUAAACACUGCCCACUUGGUGUU